GUUUGUUUUAAGAAACAUAUACAUUACUUGUUUUGAUUUAUAUAUAUAUAUUUCCAUUGUUAUAUAUAGAAUUUUAUUCUUUUUUGUUUUAUAUAUAAUAUAUACCCUUUUUAAUUAUAUAUUUUUCGAUUUGAGUAUAUAAACAUAAAGAAUUUUUUUGUUUUUUUUGUUUUUAUAUGAUUUUGUUUUUUAUGAGUUUUAUUCAAUGUAUAAUGUUACGUUUUACUCAUAUAUUAUACAUACUCAUGAUGCUAAGAAUUUGAAUGUAGCAGUGGGUGAUGUCCCCUUAUGUCAUACUGUUUCUUUACUUAAUUUUUUUUCUUUGUUUCAUUUUUGUUUUUUAUUUUAUAAUAUUAGAGUUUAUUUAUUUUGGGGCUUGGGCCCAAACUGCUUCGGAUUAUUUGCAUCCCUCUUUUUUAUUAACUAUGUUAAUUAUUGUUCUAUUUUAUUUUU
rnacentral:lncRNA from 1 species